rnacentral:rRNA from 1 species
GACGAACGCUGGCGGCGUGCUUAACACAUGCAAGUCGAACGGAAAGGCCCUUCGGGGUACUCGAGUGGCGCACGGGUGAGUAACACGUGGGUGAUCUGCCCUGCACUUUGGGAUAAGCCUGGGAAACUGGGUCUAAUACCGGAUAGGACCACGGCAUUCAUGUGCUGUGGUGGAAAGCUUUUGCGGUGUGGGAUGGGCCCGCGGCCUAUCAGCUUGUUGGUGGGGUAAUGGCCUACCAAGGCGACGACGGGUAGCCGGCCUGAGAGGGUGACCGGCCACACUGGGACUGAGAUACGGCCCAGACUCCUACGGGAGGCAGCAGUGGGGAAUAUUGCACAAUGGGCGCAAGCCUGAUGCAGCGACGCCGCGUGAGGGAUGACGGCCUUCGGGUUGUAAACCUCUUUCGCCAGGGACGAAGCGCAAGUGACGGUACCUGGAGAAGAAGGACCGGCCAACUACGUG